rnacentral:lncRNA from 1 species
ACUUGGGGCACUAGGCACUCAAGCUUCAUGAAGACUUUCUACAUCAAAGAGGUAUGUAUUCUAUCUUGCUAUAGUCAUUGUUUUGUAUGCUAGAUUAGGAUAAUACCUUGGAAGUUCUUAUUUGCAUGUAUAAUAGAGAAAACAUAGAUCCAAGGUAUUUAGGGUUGCAUGUACACUUAGGAGUGUUAGAAUGCUCAAAACCCAACAGUGGUAUCAGAGCCUAGGCUUGUUUUCUUGUUAUACCUGCAAUAGAAGCUGAAAAAACGAAUCUGGUGCUGUCUGGCCAUCAGACUCGGCGAGUCCAUCAGGAGACUCGACGAGUCCAUGCCUAAAAAGUGAUGAAUUCGAUCCAACUCGCCGAGUUGGUUCAUGCACUCGACGAGUUGGACCCCCAGACAGCAUAUUUUCGAGUUUUUUGGCUAGAAAUGGACUAGGAACAUUACCCUAAGUUGUUUUUGAACUUAUAAACUUGUUUUUGAUGUGGUAAUGUUCAUGCUAAUCCAUUUUCAAAGAUAAUUGUCAAUAGAUUCAUGUUUUGUAUUAGUUUAAGGUUUAGACUAAUUACAUGAAAAAGUUUGAUUUGAAUUAUCUUGUUCUUAUGAGUUGCUUAGAUUAAUAGAAAUGUUGAGUGAAAUAGUUGUUUUCAAUCCAUUUUAAUCUAAGAGUUGAGUAUAAAAUGUGUUUGUGUAACUUGUCCUCAAGUUACAUGAAGAGUCACAUUAAAGACUCAUAAAACUCAUAAAAGUUGGCAAUGGUUACAAAAUGAAGAGUCUUGUGUCAUUGAAUAAUUUUUUAUGACUCCAUAACUUGUCCUCAAGUUAUGGAAGUUCAAGAGUCACUUCAUUAAAGAAAAAUAUGUAACCAUAAUUAAAUCCAUAAGUUAUAAAAUAAAGAAAAAGUUAGUUCUUUUAUUAGUUUAAAGUCUUCCAUAACUUGUCCUCAAGUUAUGGAACUUGAAGAGUUUUUGGAUUAAAACUACUUUAAACACAUAAGUUAUGGAAUUAAUUAGUUUUGAAUAGUUUCAAAACUUGCCCUCAAGUUUUGGAAUUUGAAAAGUUUUCAAGUAUGAAUACUUUAAUUCCAAGUUAGCCCUUAGAAUUUUAAAAGUUAAAAUUCAACCCUUAUACUUUAUAAUAUUAUAAGUUAAUAAUAUAUAUAUGUAUAAGAGUAAAGUCAGUCUUACCGCUAGUACGCCUCAUUCACGAAGCCGGUCUAUAAGGUGGGUAUAAGGUUGUUGCCUAUAAAAUGGCAACUUAAUGGGUGUCCACUCUCACCCACCGCUUGCUUGACUGGUGGAGGGUCGUUAGCCGAACGGGUUUGACAGGACUAGAAUUCUCCCUUCAUUAAAAGUAUUAAUGAUAAUACUAAGUAACUAAACUCUUAAUAAUACCCAAUCUUAGUUACUUAGGAAAAAUGUGAAUAAGGUGCUAAUCCAUGAAAUUACACUUUACACUUUGUCUAAGUCGUUAGUGGAGCGUGUGUGGUUAACCGGCACACUAACUUGGACUUAACAAGGUAGGUAAAGGGUGACUUAAUAUUUAUCAUAGUAUCGAUGGAGCGUGUGUGGUUAACCGGCACAUCGAUUGAGGGGUAAUUUAUUAAGGGUACCAAGUGAUUUGCAUGGUUACUUCACACCUUGUUUUGUGAUCCUCGGCAUCCCAGUCACAAAACCUGAAGGGCACACUCGAGAUUGAAACAUGCCUUUGAAAAGUUCAAUGAAUCUCAAAGAUCUAGGAGUUUCAAAACCAAUUAAAACCUAAUAAUACAUUUCGUUUAUCUUGGUGGAAAUUGGUGAAUCGUCAUUCACCUACCUUCAAAUAUUUUAUAGCUUGGAUUACGGCAUACCUCUUCUAAGUUAUAAAAUAGUUUGUUGGGUCCUAGCCUUAAUAUUUCAUAUUGGGUGUCAUAUUAAGGACUUUAAAUCAACUAUCUUGAAUAUCUCCCAAAAGAUGUCUGGUUUAGACACCUAUGAUCUUCCCAAAUCUCUUGAAACAAGGUUUCCUAAUGAAGAUGAUGUCCCAUGGAUAUCAUACUUCUUCACCUCUUCAAAUUAUUCUCCCUAACCCACAAGUUCUUGAAAAGUUUAAGGUCACUCAGGCCCUAUUAGCAAGGCAAGGUCUAGGUGUGGUCACAUCUUGGAGAUGUAGUCACAUAUUGACAAGCCGGGAGAGUUGGGUGUCAAAGUCUUGAGAAAGUUGGUGGUUCAAUCACUUUCUAAGUCACAUAGUGAGUUCCUUUGGGACACCUAUGAAACAGACUAUGACAAGACCCUUAAUGAUCUUAUCUAUUUGCUAAGAUCAACUUCCUAAAACUUUAUGGACAUUGACAAUGAUGACAUUGGAUAUCCAGUAAAGCAUUCUCUUCCCAAUGGAAAGGGAUCGGCCAUAGUCAACUCGGUUGACCAAAUGGUAAAGAGAAAAGCUAAGUCUGUGAUAGUCCCGUGUACCAUUAUCAAAGGGUCCAUAUGUUUAUAUUGCCAAAGGAAGGGGCAUUGGUUGCGAAGCUGCCAAAUUUACCUAAGGAUGUUAAAGUCAAUAAGUUUGACUCUACUUCAGGUAAAGUCCACUAUCUAACUCUGUUAAGUUUCUAUUCUGAGAUUCUUGAUACAUGAUGUGACUGGGUCACAUGGUGAUGUUUUAAGAAUCAAAGAAAAGUGAAGAAACUUAAAGAAAGAAUAUGCUGAAUCUGAUGGCGUAGAUGGAUUUCUAUCGCAUAGUUUGAAGAUCGGAUUCUUGAGCUACUUCUUAGGAGUUAUGAGAUAUUGCUUAGGAAUAGAUAACAACAAGUUUUCAUAUGGAUUGUAAGGAUAAGUUUUUCCGCAAAGUUUUAAAAUAAAAGAAAAUUUUUUUGAUUUUAUUUAUUUUAAAAUAUCCUUACAAUGGCUUUUGAGGAAAAAUUGUUGCUUAUAUGAUUCCAUUAAGAGCAAGAGUGGAAAUAUGAAAUUGAUUCUUUCAUUUGUGGUAAUGUCUAGAUUUACCAAAUAAGGAAAGAUUCUCAUCACCCAAGUUUCAAUUGGACCGGAACUUGGAAUCAUGCAAGUUGUAUAGCAUGAUGAAUGAGAACUUUCAAGUUUUGGAAAAUUAAGACUAAUUACUUGUUCACAUGGAUGUGUGAGUCAAGUAAAGGACUAAGGGAUCGAGUACACAUUCUUGUGCACUGAUUAAGUCCACCACUAAAGAUCGAUAAGAAGAAUCAAAUAAGGCAGAAGGAUAAAAGUUUCUCAAAUCUGAAAAGAUGGGAGAGUACUUUAGUAUCAGUUUUGUGAUCAUCUUAAUGAUUAAGAAACCAUAUCAAAAUUAGUUCUCUAAGGAAAUCUUAGUGCAUUCUUAUGACUAAGAAGAGGAACUUGAAUUGUUGAAAUGGUUAAAUCAAGAAGAUGAGUCAUACUUCGUUCCAAUACAAGUCUUAGAGUCAUACUCCAAGAUUGUCAUUUGAGUGACAUGUCUUAAAGAAGGUUUAAAACACUUGUCAAAUGUAAGAGUAAAAGUUUUCUACUCUUGUACAUUUGAAAUUGGUAAGUUGUGAUGUUUUGGAUAAAACAAAGACCAACUUAGGCCAAUUGGGUAAAGUGUUUUUCUUGAUUAGAAUCCGCACUAUCUCUUGGAUGUUUGACAAGGGAGUCUUAUAUGUCAAGAGGACAGUGGGAGUCUUAAAGGUCUUGAAAGUCUCAAGAAAUAAUCAAGAAUAAAACCUAAAGUUCUUCACUAGCACACGACUUGAGGUUUAUAACCUAUCGUGUUGACAUAUCUGUGCCCAUUCCAGUUAAAGUUGGCUUUGCAUAUGAGUUCUUAGAGUUCUCAGUUUGUUGCAUAACAACUUGGAAGCAAUGGCAGGCCCUUGAGCUGCCAGGUGGCAAGAAGUUAAGAUUGAGUUCAAUCCAUAUGGUUUUGGAUUUGUCAUUAUCUUUGUCUUGUGAUUAUGGUUUGACAAAUUCAUAUGGGUAGGAACUCAUACACCAUAUAAAUCUAAGUGUCAUAAGGUUUCUCUCCGAUUCAUGAAAAUGAUGGUGAGGAAACGCUUUCACUAAGUAGAUUUUACGAAGAUAUCAAUUGUGUUAUUUGCAUUUUCAAAAGUCGUUAGUGGAGCGCGUGUGGUUAACCGGCACACUAACAUGGACUUGUGAGAAAUGGCAAAUGCCUAAGCAAUUGAGACCAUGAUUACGGUAUCCCUUUUCAUGGUUCUUGAAAUUGCUUAGACACACAGGUGAGCUAUCUACGGAAAGGGUGUAUGAAUCUAAAUUUCAGACUGUCCAGCUGAUUUCUGAGUACAUGUCAAAGCUAGUGGGAGCAUAAGUGUUAUGCUAAUAAUCAUCAUGUUAGUGGGAGCAUGAUAAUUAUGAUAAGUAUUGCAAGUUAGCAAUGUUAAUUAUAGAAAACAAAAGUUUCAAUUGGGAAAAAGUUGUUUUGCUAUAAUUAAGGGAGAGGAAAUUAUGCUUCAUCUCAAAUCUAUAAGCUUAGAUCGUGAGGUUUUAAUCAUUUAGUCAAGGAUAUAUAUGAAUUUCAUGUUGGAAUGGCUCAACAUAAGGAAAUUCUGUAUAUGGGUCCAUUAUUUGCGUUCUAAAAUUCGAUUAUGAUUACGGCAUCCCUUUUCAUAAUCUGAAUUAUGAGAACUUGGCAAAUUGAAAUGGAAAUAUUAUAGCAAAAGACUGGUUUAGUCUUUAUGUAAGACAUCAUGAAUCGUGUCCCAUAUGCUUCGGAUAUAGGAUCGAUUACAUGUGCUAUAUUCAUCCGUUCUAAAAUUUUCCAAAUGCCUGGGGCAUUAAGAAGGGAAAAGGUUUAGAACUGGAUAUGACUAAAAGGAUUAAACAAUUGUCGAGGACAAUCUAAGGUUUACCAAAGAUUGGUUACUCAAGGACAAUUGGAAGUAUAGUGAUAAUUCUGGAAGGACCAUAUUGACAUAAUCUGUAAGGAGGCAACUCUUGUUCAGAAGUGAUAGUCAAAAUGGAAUCUGGAAAUGUUUCAAAGUUAGAAUUUUCAAUCUGUGUAAGAUUAAGGAAACUUAAUGCAAGAAGGAUAUUUCCAAGGAGUUGAUCUCCUUUGGAAUACUCUGUAAUGAUUGUUGCCAAGUCUUUGUGACUUUGUGCAUAAUCAUUACAAGAGGAUCAAUGCAUAUAAGUUUAGAAUCUAACAGAUUUCAGUAAAUGGCAUGAAUUUGGAAUUCUUGCAUUUGCAGUAAGGAUUUGGGAGUGUGAAAAGAGAAUCAUUGAAGUUAUGUUCAAUUGAUCUAGUUCACAAAGUAAAGAUCAUAGACAAACAUAGUAUGCAUACUUGGUGUGUGGCAUGACUAGUGUUUAAGAAAACAUAGUGUACAUGCUUGGAGCAUGGGACAACUAUUGUUUUAAAUUCAAGAAUAAAGUUGAUAGCUGAAACAGUAUACAAUGAAUAAUGUGUAAUCAUAUGGUGAUAAAUAAAAGGUGUUUUAUUUAUGUUCAAAGGGUUGAUACCAUAUUGGAUUCAAUUAUUAUUGUGUUUCAUUUUGCAUGUUUUGACUUCCCGAAUAAACUGGGUUAUUCUUCCGGAAUGACUAAGUUAUUCAAACCAUCCACAGUCGGUCAUAUGUUGGAAGUAGAUAUGAAUUAAGACUGUCAUGGGUUGGCUUGUAGAGGUCUAAGGUGUUGGACAAAGGGCUACAACACUCAUGAGUGCUCAUAAGUUCUGAGUAUUGGAUUCAACCCGCGCUCAUUGGAAUCACUUCAUGGAUUUUAUCACGAGUGAUCAUGAGACGAUAAUAUCUUAUAUUCUUCAAACCUAGAGAUAUGAGUUGUUACUAUGAGUUGAUAGUACAUUGAUUGCACGAAAACGCAUUUGGUAACUCGGUGCUAUAAAACGUGCCUUUGUGUAUGAUUCAACAAGUAGUAGAACAAGCCAUAUGAGUCGAAGUUUAUCCAUUCCUUUUACCUUCGGGAUAAAAGCGAUAUCUGUGGGCCCCUCGAUGAUUUGAUGAUGACAAAUGGAAGUGCUCGGCCGGGCCAGGACUGAUUUGAUUUGUUCAAUUAGUCAGUCGUCAUAAAUCGGAAAUCGGGAAACAACAAAUGGACAGAGAGAAUGAUUAUAAUCCAUGUCUCAGUCCAUAUGAUAUCUAGAAUGGAGGAAUAUAUGAUCCCUUAUCUAAUGGACAAGUCAUUGACAAAGGUCAGAGUUCAUCUACAAGGUCAGAGUUCGACAGAAGCUUUUGAGAGCUACGAUUGCCAGUUGGUUCCUGAAGUCAUACGCAAUAAUAGUUUUAGACUUAUCCAAGUGGGAGACUGUUGGAUUAAUGUCUAAGUCCAUAACUAUAAUUGGUAAGACUUGACCCGACCCGGCAUGGUCCAUUUGGGUUGCAUACCAUCAUGCACUUGGAUAGACUAUAAUGAGAGAAAUAAGACACUUAUGGUUAUUAAUAUAUUAUAAGUUCUAGUAUAUUAAUAAUAAGAAUAAUAAGAUUAUUUAAUUAGUAUUGAUCAAGAAUUAAUCUAGGAUUAAUUAAGUGAUCAAAAGAAGACUAAUUAAAUAUAUGGGUUGAUUGUGUAAAUCAUCCAUACUUGUAUAGUGGGCUAAUGCUCCAUGGAUAAUCAAGUUGGGCUAAAACCCAUAGGAUUGUCCAUGGAUGCUCCAUGGUGUAUUUGAACCCAUGGAUCCAAGGAAAUGGAAAGUCAUGACAAUUAGGGUUUACCCUAAUUGUAACACUAUAUAAAGAUCUUAUUCUUGACAAAAUCAGCCACUAGUGUGAGUAAUAGAAGGGCUAGCCGAUUUCAUGAAGUGUAGAUUUCUCUCAAGUUAUUCCAAGUGUAUUUGGUGUUGUGUGAACCAUUUGAGGUGUCACACUUGGGGCACUAGGCACUCAAGCUUCAUGAAGACUUUCUACAUCAAAGAGGUAUGUAUUCUAUCUUGUUACACUCAUUGUUUUGUAUGCUAGAUUAGGGUAAUACCUUGGAAGUUCUUAUUUGCAUGUAUAAUAGAGAAAACAUAGAUCCAAGGUAUUUAGGGUUGCAUGUACACUUAGGAGUGUUAGAAUGCUCAAGGACCGUUGACAAAGACAACUCCUUGAUUCUCAAG